rnacentral:lncRNA from 1 species
UUAAGAGCCUGAUUCUCUGGAUCAACGUUAUCCAGAAAAACUCGUCUAUGUAAUCGUUGCUGUUCCACUAGAGGAUGUUUCGCCAAAACCUUCCGCAUAUCCGCAACAAUGUUCUAUACAUGAAGGAGUCGUGAAAUUUGCAUCAGCCAACAGAACUAUUUAUUAAAAAUAGGAGGAUUGGAUCUUAUCUAACUAGAAAAUUUGAUUCACUAACAUUGAUCUUAUUCACAUCCAAGUGGCUGAUGGCAAGGUGAGUCUUGAUCCGCCAGUGAGUCCUCUGAGUAAGAUUCCUGACGAUAUUCACUGAAAAUUUGUGAUUUGGUAUGUGAAUUGCUUCACGAUCAUCA